CUUGAUUUAGUUAUCUAUUGUAGCAUAAUAAAUUACCCUCAAACUUAGUGGAUUAAAACAAUAUUCGUGGAUUUCUGUUCCAAGACAGCCAAAUAGGAACAGCUCCAGUCUGCAGCUUCCAGUAUGAUUAACACAGAAAACAGGUGAUUUCUGCAUUUCCAACUGAGGCAACUGGUUCAUCUCACUGGAACUGGUUGGACAGUGGUGCAGCCCACAGAGGGCAAGCCAAAGUAGGGUUGGGGCAUCACCUCACCUGGGAAGUACAAGGGCUGCGAGUGAGUUUAAGCUUGCCUGAUUGCCCUGGCCAGAACUUCCAACACUAUGUUGUGUUGUUGUGUAGUGUAGUACGAUGUCUAGUGAUGAGUUUGCUAAUACAAUGCCGGUUAGGCCACCCACAGUGAAGAGAAAAAUGAAUCCCAGGGCUCAGAGCACUGCAGCAGAUCACUUCAUAUUGCUUCCGUGGAGUGUAGCGAGUCAGCUAAAUACUUUGACGCCGGUGGGGAUAGCGAUGAUUAUGGUAGCGGAGGUGAAAUAAGCUCGUGUGUCUACGUCCAUUCCUACUGUAAAUAUAUGGUGUGCUCACACAAUAAACCCUAGGAAACCAAUGAAGU
rnacentral:lncRNA from 10 species